ACGGGGUGCAGCAGGCGCGAAAACUUUGCAAUAAGCGAAAGCUUGACAGGGCUAUCCCGAGUGCCAUCCGCCGAGGAAGGCUUUUACCCAGCCUAGUAAGCUGGGGGAAUAAGGAGAGGGCAAGUCUGGUGUCAGCCGCCGCGGUAAUACCAGCUCUCCGAGUGGUGUGGAUAAUUAUUGGGCCUAAAGCAUCCGUAGCCGGCUAAGCAAGUUCCCUGUUAAACCCACCGAUUUAAUCGUUGGAUUGCGGGGAAUACUGUUCAGCUAGGGGACGGGAGAGGCCGACGGUAUUUCCGGGGUAGGGGUGAAAUCCUAUAAUCCCGGGAGGACCACCAGUGGCGAAGGCUGUCGGCUAGAACGCGCCCGACGGUGAGGGGUGAAAGCUGGGGGAGCGAACCGGAUUAGAUACCCGGGUAGUCCCGGCUGUAAACGAUGCAGGCUAGGUGUUUGGGUGGCCACGUGCCGCUCUAGUGCCGCAGGGAAGCUGUUAAGCCUGCCGCCUGGGGAGUACGACCGCAAGGCUGAAACUUAAAGGAAUUGGCGGGGGAGCAC
rnacentral:rRNA from 1 species